rnacentral:rRNA from 1 species
CAGAGGUCCCAAGCGUUGUUCGGAUCCACUGGGCGUAAAGGGUGCGUAGGCGGUCGGAUAAGUCUGAUGUGAAAUCUCCGAGCUUAACUCGGAAAUGGCAUUGGAUACUAUUCGGCUUGAGGUCUGGAGGGGGGACUGGAAUUCUCGGUGUAGCAGUGAAAUGCGUAGAUAUCGAGAGGAACACCAGUGGCGAAGGCGAGUCCCUGGACAGGUCCUGACGCUGAGGCACGAAAGCUAGGGGAGCAAACAGGAUUAGAUACCCUGGUAGUCCUAGCCGUAAACGGUGUGUAUUUGCUGUAAAAGGAAUCGACCCCUUUUGUGGCGUAGCAAACGCGUUAAAUACACCGCCUGGGAAGUACGGUCGCAAGAUUA